AAUGACAGAAUGCAGUGGUUCUGACUGAAAUGCUAAUAAAGACUGUUUUUCUUUUCUUCUGCAGGUUUUUUGUGAUGUAUCUCAUUAAUAAGGAUGAAACGGAGCACACAGGCCAGGAGUCCUACGUCUGGAAAAUGUACCAGGAACGCUGCUGGGAAUUCUUCCCGGCCGGAGACUGCUUCCGCAAACAAUACGAGGACCAGCUCAACUAACACAGCCUGUACACACACACAUAUAUACACACACAUAUAUAUAUAUAUAUAUAUAUACACACAUAUAUGCACACACAUACAUACAUAUACACACCCAUGCAGAGACUCCGCCCCCUCGGACUGUGUUUCUCCGUGACGGCUGCGGGAGGAGGAGGGGCCAGGAAUGCUUUUGAGAUUCUGUACAUACUGCUCCACCCUCCACCUGUACCCAGAAUACACUGGGGCAGCGGUUAAGCACGAGAGAGAGAGAGAGUGCAAGAGCGAAUGAUUGCGCGAGAGAAAGAGAGCGAGAGAGCGUGAAAGAGAGAGAGAGAGAGAGACGUUUGAGUCUUUAACGCUUCUCCAUUCUCUUCAUUCGCUUUAUUACAUUCACUAAAACACAUAAGCAAAAAAGAGAAAGAGCGAGAGAGAACAAGAAGGAGGAAGAGAGGACGCAGAACGAGGGAUGAGAGAUGAAGAGGAGGAGAAAGAAGAAGAAGAAGAAGAAGAAGAGGAAGCAUGCACAGCUUUCUCAUCUCAAACAGAAUAGAUAAAUGGAGGAUGGAGAAUGAACGUGUGAAUGAAAGACUCUUCUUUUAAUGUGUGAACGAAUGUGAUCGUCGCACUCAUUCUCGACCUGUGUGUGUGUGUGUUCGUCAGGAUGGGGUGAUAUAUAAAUGGAUGGAUGGAUGGAUGGAUAGAUAGAUAGAUAAACAAACAGAUGGAUGGAUGGAUGAACAGAUGCAAAAAAGAAAGGCUAAAAAGGAAGGCAGGCACCCUGAUAAUCUGAUAAUGGGCAAAAGAAGGGAUACAGUGCCUUACCGAGCAAAGGGUGAAGCUAUAUAUGCAAGGGAGGAUAAAAGAGAGAUAGAAAGAGAUAGAUAGAAAUAUAGAGUAGAAGAGAAAGAAAAAGACAGAUAGGCAGAUAAAGAUUCAUGAGGGCUACAAUGGUGUACAGACCUAUUAUUAGGGUGGGUAUAUGUUUUAAGAAUGUGUAAAUGUUUGUGAGUGUGUAUGGAGCCUCUUUUCCACUGCAGGGUCCAAUGGUUUAACGUGUGGAAUGGUUCAGGUUUCUUUUUUCAUUUGUUGUGUCUCUAAAUCAGAACCAGAAUCUGUAUAAUGUCUAAAUUUCUGUCAUUCUGGUGUAAAAACGAAUUGCAACAUGAAAAACUAUGAGUUUUCAUGCCAAAUAUUGACCUCAUUCAACUUUGCCAGCAUGGUAAUGGUGAACAGGCUUAUUCAACAUCGCUACCACAGUGUUAGCAUCGACCAGCAUUAGCACUACAGCUGCAGGCAUCGGCUACCAGCCUCAUCUGCCAUGGAGUUAGCAUGCCGAUGACCAGGCCUGUAUGCUAGCAAUGCAACUGGGCUCAUCCAACAUUACUACCACAGUGUUAGCAUCAACUAGCAUUGGUACUAUAGCUGCAAGCAUCGGCUACGAGCCUUAUCUGCCAUCACUAUUGUAAAACAUGCAGUUAGCACGCCGAUGAUCAAGCUUUGCUACAAUGACGGUAGCAUGCCGUGACCAGGCCCGUAAAUAUCACUACUAUGAUAAUAAAACAGCCUAGUUAGCCA
rnacentral:lncRNA from 1 species